rnacentral:rRNA from 1 species
UACGGGGGGGGCAAGCGUUGUUCGGAAUUACUGGGCGUAAAGGGCUCGUAGGCGGCCAACUAAGUCAGACGUGAAAUCCCUCGGCUUAACCGGGGAACUGCAUCUGAUACUGGAUGGCUUGAGUUCGGGAGAGGGAUGCGGAAUUCCAGGUGUAGCGGUGAAAUGCGCAGAUAUCUGGAGGAACACCGGUGGCGAAGGCGGCAUCCUGGACCGACACUGACGCUGAGGAGCGAAAGCUAGGGGAGCAAACGGG